AAAUCACAUGAUAUUUGUCUUUCUCCAUCUGACUCAUUUAAGCAUAAUUCCCUCAUGCUCCAUUCAUGUUGGCACAAAUGGAAGAGACACCAGAGAUCUCUAUCCUCGUGUGCACAGAGAAAAGGCCAAGAAGUUGCAUCUGCAAGUUGAGGAAAGAGGUCUCACCAGAAGCCAAACUGGCAGCACCCUGAUCCUGGACUUCCAGCCUCCAGAACUAUGAGAAGAUAAACUUCUACUGUUUAAGCUACUAGUCUGUGAUACCUCUGCUUAGGUAGCCUAAGCAGACAAAUCAAUUCCCCAGAAUGAUUGAUGACGAGGGAUUCAUACGGACUUGGAGUUUAAUUCUAGCAUUUACUGAUUCAAUUACUCUGCCAAUAUUUAAGUCCUGCUAUGAGUCAGACACUGUCAGACACUGGGUUUCAAUGCUCUGCCAUCUCCUAGAUCAUGAGGCCAUGGCUAUAGGGAAAAGAGAGGUGGAGGGACACCUGUCUGCUUCUUAACAUCCUCAGCCCAGAAGAGAGACAGACUGCCUCUGCUCAUGCUCCACCGGCUUGACGGCAGGGGAGCUGGAGCUGGAGUCCAGCUGGGUAUCUGGGAAGAGGAGAUGAGUUUGGUGACCAGAUACCCAAUC